rnacentral:rRNA from 1 species
GACGAACGCUGGCGGCGUGCUUAACACAUGCAAGUCGAACGGAAAGGCCCUGCUUUUGUGGGGUGCUCGAGUGGCGAACGGGUGAGUAACACGUGAGUAACCUGCCCCUGACUUUGGGAUAACUUCAGGAAACUGGGGCUAAUACCGGAUAGGAGCUCCUGCUGCAUGGUGGGGGUUGGAAAGAUUCGGCGGUUGGGGAUGGACUCGCGGCUUAUCAGCUUGUUGGUGGGGUAGUGGCUUACCAAGGCUUUGACGGGUAGCCGGCCUGAGAGGGUGACCGGCCACAUUGGGACUGAGAUACGGCCCAGACUCCUACGGGAGGCAGCAGUGGGGAAUAUUGCACAAUGGGCGGAAGCCUGAUGCAGCAACGCCGCGUGCGGGAUGACGGCCUUCGGGUUGUAAACCGCUUUCGCCUGUGACGAAGCGUGAGUGACGGUAAUGGGUAAAGAAGCACCGGCUAACUACGUG